rnacentral:rRNA from 1 species
AUGCAUGGAUGGGGUGCAGGAUACAAUUAUCUCCUACCUCAUGCACGUGGAUCCUUCCAGGGAGAGCGGUGGCCUCGGAAGUACAUGCUGAAAGAGGUGACUGACAGCUCCGAUGGAGCCUCUGCACUACCCAGUCAUUGCACUGGUUAUGGAACAGCUGGUGCCCAUGAGGAAAGUGAGUGCGGACGGGGAGAUCUGUGUGGCAGAGGCGGCGACGAAUGCAUUCGCUGCAAGGAUCUGAGCAGCCGAUUAAGCAGGACGACCCGAAAGCUCCUGGGGUGGACGAGAAGGUAUGGCAUUAUGCAGAUGUGCAAUUUGUAG